rnacentral:rRNA from 1 species
UACGUAGGGUGCAAGCGUUGUCCGGAAUUAUUGGGCGUAAAGAGCUCGUAGGCGGUCUGUCGCGUCUGCUGUGAAAACCUAGGGCUUAACUCUGGGCGUGCAGUGGGUACGGGCAGGCUAGAGUGCGGUAGGGGAGACUGGAAUUCCUGGUGUAGCGGUGAAAUGCGCAGAUAUCGAGGAGACACCGGUGGCGAAGGCGGGUCUCUGGGCCGAACUGCGCUGAGGAGCGAAAGUGCGGUGGGAGCAACAGG